AUUGAACGCUGGCGGCAUGCCUUACACAUGCAAGUCGAACGGUAACAGGUCUUCGGAUGCUGACGAGUGGCGAACGGGUGAGUAAUACAUCGGAACGUGCCUAGUAGUGGGGGAUAACUACUCGAAAGAGUGGCUAAUACCGCAUGAGAUCUACGGAUGAAAGCAGGGGAUCGCAAGACCUUGUGCUACUAGAGCGGCCGAUGGCAGAUUAGGUAGUUGGUGGGAUAAAAGCUUACCAAGCCGACGAUCUGUAGCUGGUCUGAGAGGACGAUCAGCCACACUGGGACUGAGACACGGCCCAGACUCCUACGGGAGGCAGCAGUGGGGAAUUUUGGACAAUGGGCGAAAGCCUGAUCCAGCAAUGCCGCGUGCAGGAUGAAGGCCUUCGGGUUGUAAACUGCUUUUGUACGGAACGAAAAGCCCCGGGUUAAUACCCUGGGGUCAUGACGGUACCGUAAGAAUAAGCACCGGCUAACUACGUGCCAGCAGCCGCCGCGG
rnacentral:rRNA from 1 species